UACGUAGGGUGCGAGCGUUGUCCGGAAUUACUGGGAGUAAAGAGCUCGUAGGUGGUUUGUAGCGUCGUCUGUGAAAUUCCGGGGCUUAACUCCGGGCGUGCAGGCGAUACGGGCAUAACUUGAGUACUGUAGGGGAGACUGGAAUUCCUGGUGUAGCGGUGAAAUGCGCAGAUAUCAGGAGGAACACCGGUGGCGAAGGCGGGUCUCUGGGCAGUAACUGACGCUGAGGAGCGAAAGCAUGGGUAGCGAACAGGAUUAGAUACCCUGGUA
rnacentral:rRNA from 1 species